rnacentral:misc_RNA from 1 species
AAGGAAACUUGUUCGUUCUUUGCCAACUCAUUUUGUCCUUGGGAGAAACAGAAAACUGCAAGGCUUGGCAGCAGCACUCGUAAAGUUGUGGGAGAAAUGUCAUAUAGCAAAGAUAGCUUUGAAGUGGGGAAUUCCAAAUGCUAGCAAUGAGCUAAUGGCAAAUGAGUUAAAGUAUCUUACAGGAGGAGUCCUUUUAUUGCGGAAUAAGUUCUUUAUAAUCCUAUACAGAGGCAAGGAUUUUCUUCCUUCUCAAGUUGCAAAACUUGUAGCUGAAAGGGAGGUGGAGCUCACAAGAUGUCAG